rnacentral:lncRNA from 1 species
AAAUGUCCGGAAGCACUACACAUACACUCCUGAGUCUUCCUUGACUGACAGCCUAAGUUGCCCGCUUCCAGUACUUUCUAUGAGUCUACUCACUUCCCAAGGAGCGGUUGCUGUUUGUGAAAGCAAAACAUAACAACAAUAUCCAGAUACAAAACAAGAUGGAUUCUGCACGUCCAGUUGUCUUGUUUAAGAUGCAAGCAGUAGGAGAUUGUCAUUUUCACCAUUGA